UGCGUCGCUUGAAAAAAGUUUUCACAGACUCUGCUGGAGCUGGUGCUGAAACAGACUGAGGCAGCCCCUGGGACUGGUGCUGAAAAAGAGACCCCAGCCAAAUUCAUGGUGCUACAGUGACCUCCAUAUCUACUCUUCGAUCCCAGGAGGACCCACAUGUCUCAUAUUUAGGCAUGAUGGCAAACUGGGUGGUAGCAAGACCUCUCCUCAUUCUUUUUGUUUUAUUAGGGUACUGUGUCUCAAUAAAAGCCCAGGAACAAGAGAAUGAUGACUAUGAUGAAGAAAUAGCCUGUACACAACAUGGCCAGAUGUAUUUAAAUAGAGACAUUUGGAAACCUUCUCCAUGCCAGAUCUGUGUCUGUGACAAUGGUGCUAUCCUCUGUGACAAGAUAGAGUGCCAAGAAGUGCUCAACUGUGCCAAUCCUG
rnacentral:lncRNA from 1 species